CAAUAUUGUAACUCUCCAACUACUCUACAUUUGAUGUGACGUCAUGGCUCAUUCUAACGCAUAUGAGUGUGUGAGAAAGAAAGUUAUUGAGGCAAAAUGGGAUAGUCUGUAGUGAAUAGAUUGUUUAGUUAGGCUUUAUUCUUUACUAUUGGCACUGAUUUAAAAGUAACACGAUGUCCGCUGCUCCAGGUUGUGUGCGUAAUGGUGCAUAAUUGUCAGGGCAGAUGCAUUGAUUUCGGAACUAGCUUAGACCAGAGUGGGCGCAUAGGGCAAAUGUCUAGUCAUCCUCUGUGACGAACAUCGAUUUAAUAUGUGACAGCAAGCCUAUUGAAAACCAUAGCCAACAUUUGAAGAAAUCAUGGUUAAUGGGGUUUGGAGUCAAACAGAACCUGUGUAGAUAAAUGGAAUAGGAAUACCGAAAGAUAACUGGCAAAUAAAUAGGAGUCAAUUAGACACCUACAAAACGAGAAAAAUGGCUGCGAUAUGCCUACAAUUUCAACAGACCUGUUGAUAAAAUGACCAUGGUGAGUUUUUUGUUAUUACAUGUAAGCCUCAGCCAUUGGCAGUAGGCUACCACGGAGCUAUGGAAAAUAUACAGCACACCAAAACGUUUCUUUGAAUCCAGUCAAUUCCACCGCACCAUGGAGAAAGGUAAACAAUGAGGCGUGAUUUGCUGUUGCCUUUUGCACCCUGAACCUGGUACCUUGGAUAGCGACGCUCGGGAAUCAUUUUACUACAGUAACGGAAUCGUUAGUGACGCGCCUCGCUAUGCUGUUCACAUUCGGGACGAAUGGCUGGCGAUUCCCUGUCUGGGACCCGACCUACACUAUCCAAUGGCUGGGGUAUGAGGCGUUCAAACGCUACACCAAGAACAUGCAGUGCAACGGGGGGAUGAAGGCGCUUCCUCGCGAGGAGGUGCAAGGCCAGGGGCUGUUGGACGGUGAUGACACCAUCCACCAAAGAUGUCCUCUAAUACAAUGACUUUAUCAAAAUUGCCAUCGAAAUGGAUGACAUGUCUCCAGACUUUGUUCCAUACCAGCCUGGAGUUUCACACCUCUGGAGUUGGAGACCCAAGUUUGGGAGCAGCAAAGACAGAGGUGGCCAUUACCUGAAAGAGAUAUCCACGCCCUGUGGUGCCAUCCAGGACAGAUAGAAAUGGCCAGGAGGUUCCGCACCCUACUGGACUCAGACCACCACCCCUCAGAGAUCACAGAAAUUCAUCGGUUCUGGAGUCCAGGAUGCCUACACUACACUCCUCAGUUCUUGCUAUGGAGCUGUUACCUGUCUGCCAGGGCAUCGAGUUCUGCCACCCGCUGCCUACCACAACACCAUUGGAGAAGGUCUAUGACCUUGUACGCAGUGUAACCAAAGCCCUGGAUCAAGGAUAGGGUCAUGUCACCAGACAUUGAUGCUGUCCAUCAUCUUCUUCUAGACCAGAAGGCAAGUGUGUGGUCAUUAUAGAUGUCACUCUGAGCCUAUAUUUAUACAAUAAAUAUAAAGACGGUCAUUUAGCAGAACGCUUUUAACCAGGUUUGUGUAUUUGAUGUCAUUUUCCAGGUGUGGAACGUGGCACAGCCAUAUAUUGAGAGUUACAGUAUAAACUGAGUGGUUCAAGCCCUGAAUGCUAAUUGCCUGAAAGCCGUGGUAUACAUUUAAUUUUUACUGCUCUAAUCAUGUUGGUAACCAGUUUAUAAUAGCAAUAAGGCACCUCAGGGGUUUGUGAUAU